UUCUAUGAUACCAUCUUAUCUGACAUUCUUUUUUUAAUCUCCUCGAUGGCCAGGGUAGGACAAGGAGGAAACACUAAUGGGAUAACUUGAUAAGCUCGCCAUACUGUUGCUCCCCGUGUGUAAAAACUUGCUCACAUGAUCAGAUGAUGCCCCAAUUUCAGAUGCAAACGAGCUCCGACUACCUCCACCGAAUCCCAAUAAUUCAGCAGACAUAAAUGAAACCAUAGACAACUUAUCAUUGAUGUCUGAUGUUGCAGAAGCAUAUGACAUCUCAGAAUAUAAAUCCAUAUUGUCAACGUUCUCUUUCGCGGAAGAUCUUCCGAAUGAGGUUGAGGGGCCUGCAUCUUCAGUAUAAUGUUUUGAGCUUCCGUUGUUUUUAGCCAACUCUGAGUCUGUCUGUUGGCUAGCACUAGUCCAUUUAUCAUUUGCAGAAACCAAAUGAUCAAUUGCUACACAAGGUUUCCAUUCAGGAACCAAUUUUAUCAAUAACAAAUCGAUUAACUCAGCUAUGAAUUUUACAUUCUGAUCAGCAAGUUCAAGUUGCUCAACCAUUUCCUUUGAAACUGAGACAGCAGUAUCACUGUCAAGGUAGAAGAUGAAAUGGAUAUAUUUUGCUUGUCCUGCAUAUAAAUCGCAAAAAGUAUAAACUUUCCACCAACAAAUUUAAAAGUCAUUAAAGAGUAGAAAUGAACUAUACUAACCCCUCUGAUCAGCUAUCCGCAGAACCAAUGAUACAGAAUUCUCAUCAUU
rnacentral:lncRNA from 1 species